ACGGGAAGAGCCCAAACCAACAAGCUUGCUUGUUGGGGUUGUAGGACACUCUAUACGGAGUUACAAAGGACGACAUUAGACGAAUCAUCUGGAAAGAUGAAUCAAAGAAGGUAAUAAUCCUGUAGUCGAAAAUGUUGUCUCUCUUGAGUGGAUCCUGAGUACGACGGAGCACGUGAAAUUCCGUCGGAAUCUGGGAGGACCAUCUCCUAAGGCUAAAUACUCUCUAGUGACCGAUAGUGAACCAGUACCGUGAGGGAAAGGUGAAAAGCACCCCGGAAGGGGAGUGAAAUAGAACCUGAAACCGUGUGCUUACAAGUAGUCAGAGCCCGUUAAUGGGUGAUGGCGUGCCUUUUGUAGAAUGAACCGGCGAGUUACGAUUUGAUGCAAGGUUAAGCAGUAAAUGUGGAGCCGUAGCGAAAGCGAGUCUGAAUAGGGCGUUUAGUAUUUGGUCGUAGACCCGAAACCAGGUGAUCUACCCUUGGUCAGGUUGAAGUUCAGGUAACACUGAAUGGAGGACCGAACCGACUUACGUUGAAAAGUGAGCGGAUGAACUGAGGGUAGCGGAGAAAUUCCAAUCGAACCUGGAGAUAGCUGGUUCUCUCCGAAAUAGCUUUAGGGCUAGCCUCAAGUGAUGAUUAUUGGAGGUAGAGCACUGUUUGGACGAGGGGCCCCUCUCGGGUUACCGAAUUCAGACAAACUCCGAAUGCCAAUUAAUUUAACUUGGGAGUCAGAACAUGGGUGAUAAGGUCCGUGUUCGAAAGGGAAACAGCCCAGACCACCAGCUAAGGUCCCAAAAUAUAUGUUAAGUGGAAAAGGAUGUGGCGUUGCCCAGACAACUAGGAUGUUGGCUUAGAAGCAGCCAUCAUUUAAAGAGUGCGUAAUAGCUCACUAGUCGAGUGACACUGCGCCGAAAAUGUACCGGGGCUAAACAUAUUACCGAAGCUGUGGAUUGUCCUUUGGACAAUGGUAGGAGAGCGUUCUAAGGGCGUUGAAGCAUGAUCGUAAGAACAUGUGGAGCGCUUAGAAGUGAGAAUGCCGGUGUGAGUAGCGAAAGACGGGUGAGAAUCCCGUCCACCGAUUGACUAAGGUUUCCAGAGGAAGGCUCGUCCGCUCUGGGUUAGUCGGGUCCUAAGCUGAGGCCGACAGGCGUAGGCGAUGGAUAACAGGUUGAUAUUCCUGUACCACCUAUAAUCGUUUUAAUCGAUGGGGGGACGCAGUAGGAUAGGCGAAGCGUGCGAUUGGAUUGCACGUCUAAGCAGUAAGGCUGAGUAUUAGGCAAAUCCGGUACUCGUUAAGGCUGAGCUGUGAUGGGGAGAAGACAUUGUGUCUUCGAGUCGUUGAUUUCACACUGCCGAGAAAAGCCUCUAGAUAGAAAAUAGGUGCCCGUACCGCAAACCGACACAGGUAGUCAAGAUGAGAAUUCUAAGGUGAGCGAGCGAACUCUCGUUAAGGAACUCGGCAAAAUGACCCCGUAACUUCGGGAGAAGGGGUGCUCUUUAGGGUUAACGCCCAGAAGAGCCGCAGUGAAUAGGCCCAAGCGACUGUUUAUCAAAAACACAGGUCUCUGCUAAACCGUAAGGUGAUGUAUAGGGGCUGACGCCUGCCCGGUGCUGGAAGGUUAAGAGGAGUGGUUAGCUUCUGCGAAGCUACGAAUCGAAGCCCCAGUAAACGGCGGCCGUAACUAUAACGGUCCUAAGGUAGCGAAAUUCCUUGUCGGGUAAGUUCCGACCCGCACGAAAGGCGUAACGAUUUGGGCACUGUCUCAACGAGAGACUCGGUGAAAUCAUAGUACCUGUGAAGAUGCAGGUUACCCGCGACAGGACGGAAAGACCCCGUGGAGCUUUACUGUAGCCUGAUAUUGAAAUUCGGCACAGCUUGUACAGGAUAGGUAGGAGCCUUUGAAACGUGAGCGCUAGCUUACGUGGAGGCGCUGGUGGGAUACUACCCUAGCUGUGUUGGCUUUCUAACCCGCACCACUUAUCGUGGUGGGAGACAGUGUCAGGCGGGCAGUUUGACUGGGGCGGUCGCCUCCUAAAAGGUAACGGAGGCGCUCAAAGGUUCCCUCAGAAUGGUUGGAAAUCAUUCAUAGAGUGUAAAGGCAUAAGGGAGCUUGACUGCGAGACCUACAAGUCGAGCAGGGUCGAAAGACGGACUUAGUGAUCCGGUGGUUCCGCAUGGAAGGGCCAUCGCUCAACGGAUAAAAGCUACCCCGGGGAUAACAGGCUUAUCUCCCCCAAGAGUUCACAUCGACGGGGAGGUUUGGCACCUCGAUGUCGGCUCAUCGCAUCCUGGGGCUGUAGUCGGUCCCAAGGGUUGGGCUGUUCGCCCAUUAAAGCGGUACGCGAGCUGGGUUCAGAACGUCGUGAGACAGUUCGGUCCCUAUCCGUCGUGGGCGUAGGAAAUUUGAGAGGAGCUGUCCUUAGUACGAGAGGACCGGGAUGGACAUACCUCUGGUGUACCAGUUGUCGUGCCAACGGCAUAGCUGGGUAGCUAUGUGUGGACGGGAUAAGUGCUGAAAGCAUCUAAGCAUGAAGCCCCCCUCAAGAUGAGAUUUCCCAACUUCGGUUAUAAGAUCCC
rnacentral:rRNA from 1 species